UAUCAAAUCUAAUAAAACAAUGAAAAAAAAAAGUUGUUCUAAAGGCUGUUUUGCAGAGGAGAUAACAAAAAAGAAAAUAGCAAAUAGUUAAAAAAACAAACAAACAAACUAAAUCAGCAAUCUAUCUUUUCAAACAUGAAAAUACUAAACAUUCCCAGGCUACAAAUCAUCACUUGCGCUCUUAUGACAGAUUAUGUCAUUCCUUUUGUGUAACAAGUGGCCUUCGGAGUCACAUGUUUUCCCUGCGUGCGCUGGUGGUUGUUACAGUGCACUGCACCGCUGCUGCGUGGGUCACUGGGUUGUUUGGGAAAACUGAAACGUGGUGGCCUCGUUCUGCAGCCCGAGAUAAAAAAAACAACAAAAAAAACACAAAAAAACGACCACCUGGAAAACAGUAUGCUGGAAACAACGAGUUUUGCUCUCUGGGCUCAAGGGGUCCGGAGCCGCCACAGCUGCA